rnacentral:rRNA from 1 species
GACGAACGCUGGCGGCGUGCUUAACACAUGCAAGUCGAACGGAAAGGCCCUGCUUUUGUGGGGUGCUCGAGUGGCGAACGGGUGAGUAACACGUGAGUAACCUGCCCUUGACUUUGGGAUAACUUCAGGAAACUGGGGCUAAUACCGGAUAGGAGCUCCUGCUGCAUGGUGGGGGUUGGAAAGUUUCGGCGGUUGGGGAUGGACUCGCGGCUCAUCAGCUUGUUGGUGGGGUAGUGGCUUACCAAGGCUUUGACGGGUAGCCGGCCUGAGAGGGUGACCGGCCGCAUUGGGACUGAGAUACGGCCCAGACUCCUACGGGAGGCAGCAGUGGGGAAUAUUGCACAAUGGGCGGAAGCCUGAUGCAGCAACGCCGCGUGCGGGAUGACGGCCUUCGGGUUGUAAACCGCUUUCGCCUGUGACGAAGCGUGAGUGACGGUAAUGGGUAAAGAAGCACCGGCUAACUACGUG